UAGUCCACGCCGUAGACGGUGGGUACUAGGUGUGGGUUUCCUUCCUUGGGAUCCGUGCCGUAGCUAACGCAUUAAGUACCCCGCCUGGGGAGUACGGCCGCAAGGCUAAAACUCAAAGAAAUUGACGGGGGCCCGCACAAGCGGCGGAGCAUGUGGAUUAAUUCGAUGCAACGCGAAGAACCUUACCUGGGUUUGACAUGCACAGGACGCCGGCAGAGAUGUCGGUUCCCUUCUGGCCUCUGUUCAGCUGGUGCAUGGCUGUCGUCAGAUCUCGUCUCGAGAUAUUGUGGUUAAUCUCCGCCAAGGGGCCCAACCUUGUUUUCAAUGUUGCCAGCGGGUAAUGCCGGGGACUCGUGAGAGACUGCCGGGGUCAACUCGGAGGAAGGUGGGGAUGACGUCAAGUCAUCAUGCCCCUUAUGUCCAGGGCUUCACACAUGCUACAAUGGCCGGUACAAAGGGCUGCGAUGCCGCGAGGUUAAGCGAAUCCUUUUAAAGCCGGUCUCAGUUCGGAUCGGGGUCUGCAAC
rnacentral:rRNA from 1 species